CAGCCGUAAACUAUGCUCGCUAGGUGUCAGGCAUGGCGCGACCGUGUCUGGUGCCGCAGGGAAGCCGUGAAGCGAGCCACCUGGGAAGUACGGCCGCAAGGCUGAAACUUAAAGGAAUUGGCGGGGGAGCACAACAACGGGUGGAGCCUGCGGUUUAAUUGGACUCAACGCCGGACAACUCACCGGGGACGACAGCAGUAUGUAGGCCAGGCUGAAGACCUUGCCUGAAUCGCUGAGAGGAGGUGCAUGGCGUAGACGUCU
rnacentral:rRNA from 1 species